CAGUAGCCGCGGUAAUACGGAGGGUGCGAGCGUUAAUCGGAAUUACUGGGCGUAAAGCGUACGCAGGCGGUCUGUUAAGUCAGAUGUGAAAUCCCCGGGCUUAACCCGGGAACUGCAUUUGAAACUGGCAGGCUAGAGUCUCGUAGAGGGGGGUAGGAUUCCAGGUGUAGCGGUGAAAUGCGUAGAGAUCUGGAGGAAUACCGGUGGCGAAGGCGGCCCCCUGGACGAAGACUGACGCUCAGGUGCGAAAGCGUGGGGAGCAAACAGGAUUAGAUACCCCUGUAGUCCCUGUCUCUUAUAC
rnacentral:rRNA from 1 species